rnacentral:ncRNA from 1 species
UCGAUAGAGGCGCGGGAUUCAUCAGUAGCGCCGCGGAGCCCCUCCAGGGGCGCUGACGCGGCGGGAAAGGGAAUUUCGCCGAAAUCCGGCGGGGCUGGAGGCCCGACGGGUUGGGGGACCGCAAAACAUGCGGUUCACUGUCACAACGAUCGUUGUGGAGCGCUAUCU